rnacentral:tmRNA from 1 species
GGGGGUGCACUGGUUUCGACCUGUGCGGUUCGUGGUGUGCGCUGCAGGUGGAGUGGCUACCCUCCUCAAAGUGGCAAAACCUUUAAGUGCCAACAACAACGGCGCUCUCGCUCUCGCUGCGUAAGUAGCAGGCGACGGACACCAUGGCGGGCUGUCUCCGACGCCAUGGAGGUCUGUGACAUUCGGGGGCUCACCUUGAGGUCGGUUCGGGGGCCUUGAGGGACAUCAAACCGGAAUACGGAACCGGACGCGUGCCAGUCAGCUCCCCGGUUCCCGACAAUAUACCGAUUGGCUAAACCUGUAGAUGUGUGCAUUGCACGCCCGGGGACGGGGGUUCAAUUCCCCCCACCUCCAGU